rnacentral:rRNA from 1 species
GACGAACGCUGGCGGCGUGCUUAACACAUGCAAGUCGAACGUGAUUUUUGUGGAAAUUCUUUCGGGAAUGGAAAUGAAAUGAAAGUGGCGAACGGGUGAGUAACACGUGAGCAACCUACCUUACACAGGGGGAUAGCCGUUGGAAACGACGAUUAAUACCGCAUGAGACCACAGAAUCGCAUGAUAUAGGGGUCAAAGAUUUAUCGGUGUAAGAAGGGCUCGCGUCUGAUUAGCUAGUUGGAAGGGUAAAGGCCUACCAAGGCGACAAUCAGUAGCCGGUCUGAGAGGAUGAACGGCCACAUUGGAACUGAGACACGGUCCAAACUCCUACGGGAGGCAGCAGUGGGGAAUAUUGCACAAUGGGGGGAACCCUGAUGCAGCGACGCCGCGUGAGCGAAGAAGGUUUUCGAAUCGUAAAGCUCUGUCCUAUGAGAAGAUAAUGACGGUAUCAUAGGAGGAAGCCCCGGCUAAAUACGUG